UUCACUCAUUUCACACUGUAGAAUUGGGGGCUGCAUUUGAUUUAGUGCUUCAGAAUAACACUGGCUCAGGAAUCAGAAGCCUUGGCUUCCAGUUCCAUCCCUGACGCUUCCUCCUCUGUCAGCUUGGGCAAGUCAUUUUGUCAUUUCUCACCUGUGUGUGCCUCAGUUUCCUCAUCUGUGAUCUGAGGGGAUUGGAUUAGAUGGCUUCCAAGGGCCUUUCUAGCUCUGGAUCUGUGUCCUAGAAUAAUUAUGUCUGACGUGAUGAUGGUUUUUGGCUGAAUUUGCAGAAAUGGGCCAAUUGCCGUGAGAUUACAAGGAAAGUAUGUAACAUAGAUGUGAUCUCCAUCGUAGUGACACACUCUGCAGGUAUUGGAAUCUCAGUGAUUGAGGGGGGAAGAGCAAGCAAAAUUUUAUCCCCGUUCAGGUCAGGGUGGCAGCUCAGUUUCAGUUUGAGAUGCGUGGACCACACUUGGAGAGGCCCUAACCAGGCCCCUGUCAAAUGUGCCUUAGACAAGGUUUGGACACGUCCUCUUGAGCGUGACUCUGCCGGAGGGGUUCAAGCCUUCACUGUAAGAGACACAGAACACUGCAUUGGGUGCCAUGGAAAAGGGGAUUUUGGGGGAUUGCCAAAUAAGCACACGUUGUUAUCAGAGUCAUGUGGAACGGAGCCCUCCGGCCCAGGCUGCUGCUCUGGGCUCCAUGUGGCCCAAGCCAUUGAGCUCCAUGUUGGCAGUGGGUAAUGGGACUCACAGUGUGUGAGUGUGUGUGUGUGUCCAUACUAAUUCCCCUCCUCUCUGAAGGGCUGAUUAUACCAGACCUGCCUGUCUCUUAGAAUGGAUUGUUUCUAACAUACGUCACCAUUUUCGUGUAUCGGAUAGAAGAAAACAAAAGUCUCCAAGUUGAGCUUUGUCAUGAAGACACCGUGUAAAUCUGUAUAUACAUUGAUCAUGUGCAGAGUGUAAGAUGAGCCAUGUCUGUGUUUGUGACGAUCUGCGGCUCGUCGCCGUUACGUUCAGGGAACUGCGUUCUGGAUGCUCCCGUGCUGCUCUCAGUGACAACGCCUGGCUUCCCGCUCCCUGCCCUGCAUGUGGGACCAACCUGGUUGUUCCCAGGGAGGCUCUGCCACUCUCUUAGAAUAAUUCAGGGGUGGGGGCAGGAGAGGAAUCUUUAUAGAAAUGGGGGCGAGGAAGAGAUUUCAUUUAGAAAUAAAACAGGCCCCUUUGCCUCAAAGCACAAAAAUAAAUAUUUGAAAAUAACGGGUUUUUCUCUCCCUUUGGCUUUUUGUAAAAUAUAAGUGAGCGAUAAUGUCUGUGUCCUAAUGUUUUUUUUUUUUAAUAAUGUGACCUUGUGAGUUCAAUGGGAAUCUGUGUGUGUGCGUGAGUGAGAAAGCGAGAGUGACCGAGAGCAAGAGCGAGAGCGAGAGAGAACGAACACAUCAGCUUAGGUCUGUAGGCCUCUACUCUGCUGUAUGGCUUGGAUUAAGUCGGGUUCAGGAGCUUAUCAUCAGAGUCUCCACACACAGGGAAAGCAAAUGUAUAAAUUCUUGAAACUGGCUUUCUUUUUCUUGAAUAAGAUACGGUAUUUCAGUAAAUUCCCUAAAAAUAGAGGGGAAAAUUUUGUAGUUGUCAAUGUGUGUUUAGAGCAAGUCAGUGCUGACAUUAUUGCCUCAUUAAACUAAUUUGGAAAUCAUGUCAGAGCAUAGCACCAUCUCUAAUUUGUUGCCUCGUUUUUAAAUGCACUUUUUAAAAGAUCUGCAUCAGAUUACUUCAAAGACAGCUACGUAAAGGAGAAAUUUGAAGCAUUUGAGUAUUAGCUUUAAAUAGUUCCAGCCCAGAUAUUUAAUAGAAUUAACCAAAUUACAGAUUUCCACUGUGUUGUGUAAACAACUGACAAAAAGUUUUAGGGCAGAAAAUAUAGUGGAUAUGCCAGCUUCGUUAUAUUUGAGUUACUUUUUGCUUACUAGCACAAUUUCUUUCCUAUAACAUUCUCAGUGCAAAAGCUUUUGUUCUUUUUUGAUGCAGUUGGCAAGAUAAUCAAGGGAGAUUUCCUAGUGAUUAUGAUCUAGUGCCCCCUACAGCACGUACACACACACAAAUGGACAAUUUUUCACUGUACUCAAAUAAUUCCUAUUUGCUCUAGUAACUGUCAAUGGCAAAAUGUUAAAAUUUCAAAUUUAAAAAAAUAAUUGUUUGUGUUAAUAGAAUAUCCCCAUUUCUGUUUUGGCCUAAAUUGUAAUCCUGGCUCUACUAGUGAUUUGUUACCUGUGUGACCUUGGAAAACCCAUUGUACCUUCAGAGGCCUUCGUUUUAUCAUCUAUAAAUUGGGGAGAUUAGAUGAAAUGAUCUCUGAGGUCCCUCCUGGGUUCUGAUCCCUUGACCUAUUGUCUCUAAGAGCUGACUUUUUUUUACAUCCAUCGCCUUAUUGGACAGAUGAGGAAAAGGACUUUUCCUAAACUCUCCUAAGUGGAGAGGCAGCUGUUGAAUGGACUCUGCUUCCAGGUAGGAGGAUUUCCCCUGAUGCUCCUGGACUCAUUCUGCCGCAUCCCCUGCUGGGAAAAGGUCUUUUCAAAUGUGCAUUCAAAGCAGAAAGAACUUGAACUUUUCUUUAUGAUUCCUUAGUUGAAUAUAUUCCAUGAUAUACCAUCAAGGACAGGCUAAACCCUGGCCACUUAAAAUAACAGUGCUAAAUUGAAUCCCCCUCUUUGCUCUUUUAAAUUAAUCAUCAUCCAGGGCAGUAGAUAGAGCACCAGCCCUGAAGUCAGGAGGACCUGAGUUCAAAUGUGACCUCAGACACUUAACACUUCCUAGCUGUGUGUCCUUGGGCAAGUUACUUAACCCCAAUUGCCCAAGCAAAAUAAAUAAUAAAUAAACUAAUCAUCAUCCACUCAGCUUUAUUUUGGUAAUGUAAAGAUUGCUCAACUAUGUAGGUAUUAGAUAAGAUUUCUAUUUUAACAACAAAAAAAUUUAUAUUAUUUAUUAAAUCCAUGCAUUUCAUUAAUUUCUAAAACAUUCCGUAUUAUUCUUGCUGCUUUUUUUUUUUUUUAAUCUGUAUAGUUUGGUAUUUAAAGAGAUAACAGUUCUUUUCACAUAGGAGAAAUGUCUUUUUAAAAAAAUGGAGUUAAAUGAAUUUUUUAAAACUAUGUUCAGCUUACCCAUUCCCUGAAAUUCAGAAGGUUUCUUUUUUUUGUAACUAAAAAAUUAGCUCAUUUUAACGUGAGUAGAGUUUUAUGCAGCAGCGUGACGGCCGAUCGCCAAGGAAUAGAUUACAAAGCCUAAUUCUUUUUGCCUGUAAAACAUACCUGCCUUUUGGUGUCUCACUGAAGAGUUUGCCAUGAAAUACUGCUUUAAUCUACCUCUUUCAAAAGAAGCUUCAUUCUGGUUGACAAAUUCCAAUCUGGCUAUGAUAGAACGAAUUAAUGGAGCACGUUUUCGGUUCUUUUCUUACUCUUAGUUGUUUCCUAUGUGAUUUAGAUUUUUUUUUCCUUAAGUCUAUUGAAUUUUGGGGGAAUUCUAUGACUGAUGGAGACUCGGAGCCUCCUAUAUAUGAGAUCUUUCAGGAUCUAUGUUAUUGCUGCUGUUUCUGCUGAGUGUUCUGUUUUUUUUUUUAGGCCAGGAGACCCAUCUCUGAUUAGAGCUGACCUGGUCUCGGUGAAAAAUGUUGAUCAAAUAUGAGAUCAGACUAUAGCUGUAAUGGAGUAGCAUUUAUUUAUGAGAGCUAAGUAUUAAGUGCAACUUGUAGGGGGUGGUGUGUGCCUUGAAUUUGAAUGGAAUCAUUCCCCUGGCCACUUCAAAUUAGUUUGGAACAUGAUAUUAGAGAGAUAACCCAUGUGUAUUGUGGGUUAUCGCUGAAGUCCUGGUGGGGAAAAAAAUGGGAAAAAAACAAAAACCAAUAAUGAAGUUGUUAAUUUUUUAAAGAGCAGUUUCUACACAGUCUAAUAUUAUUUAGUUACAUGUUCUCUUCUGCAAAUUUUGGAAAUUUAGGAGCAUUUUAGUAGAAUCAAUUAUGAAAACUUCUAAAAGGACCUUGAUUUUUGAUUGGGAGAGUUAACCUAAAAGGCCAGUAUUCCUGUAAAUAACCCAAGCUGUCAUACCUAGGAAGCAUCCUUGUCUGUUCUCUUCUGAACUUUGGCCCUUUCCUAUUUAUUGUGCAAAUCAAGUUUGUUUUUUUUUUAAUUUCUUGGUAUACCGCCUAAGAAGUGCACGAUUUAAGUCUUUUCUUCCUUGGAAACUGUUCCCCACUUAUGGUAACCAUCAGCACUGUUCGGGACGUGCCAUACUUGGUCAAUACUGUUGUCUCCGAGAGCUAUUUUGGAGCAAGCUAAGUUGGUUAUUCUUUUCUGUGUUGGUCAAUUGCUUAUAUAAAAAAACAUCCCAAUAAAAGAACCUGCC
ensembl:lncRNA